rnacentral:tRNA from 1 species
GCGCCCGUAGCUCAGCUGGAUAGAGCAUCGGCCUUCUAAGCCGGCGGUCCCAGGUUCGAAUCCUGGCGGGCGCGCCA